UGUGCAUGUUUAAACAUGCAUGUUCAAUAUGUGUCUACAUACACAGACACAUACACACAUAUGUGAAUAUGUACACA
rnacentral:miRNA from 1 species